rnacentral:rRNA from 1 species
AUGGCGCAUCCGGCCGGACCCGGCGGCGCUGGCGGCAGGAUGUUCCUCCAGGCGACUACGCCGGCGACCGUCUACGACUACGACGCCUACCAGCACCACCACCAGCGGCGACACAUCGGGUACGACGGCUACGGGGCGGCACCCGGCAGGCAGGUGCUGUUCUACCAGCCGCAGCAGCACUACCACCACCAGCACCAGUCGCUGGUCCUGGAGUCGGUGCCGGUGCGCAUGGUCGCCGCGCCAGAGCACCCGGAGGCGUCCGCGGUGGCGACGUCGGGGUCGAAGCGGGUGCGGCUCUUCGGGGUGAAUCUCGAGUGCGCGGCGGACGCCGAGGAGGACUUCAGCGGGCCCGGGAGAACGGCGACAACGGCGCUGCAACUGCUGUCACCGGCCUCCUCCUCAUCGUCGUCGUCCGGGAAAGCGAGGUGCUCUUUGAAUCUUGACUUGUGA